CAUGACACAUGUUAGUCAUGGCGUCGCGGGCCGCAUACAAUUAAUCGCGUAUAUUUUACCAUUUUUUCUUUAUCAUUUCAUGACGUCUAAAACGCUUUGCAGUAUCCGCCACAAGCAGUUUCAAAAUUAAGAUGCGUAAUGCGACUGCGUCACUCUACAACUGCAGAGCCAGAGGCUAUAAAUACGGCUGUGUAACAGUGUAAUAAAUAUUAAUCAUAAGCAUUCCCGCUUGGUGGCGCAGUCCAACUCAACAGCAACAUGAGUUUCUUUCCAUUCCUUCGGGUGCGUUGGGAUUAUAAAAUAAUCG